rnacentral:rRNA from 1 species
AUUGAACGCUGGCGGAAGGCCUAACACAUGCAAGUCGAGCGAGCGGCGGACGGGUGAGUAAUGUAUGGGGACUGCCCGAUAGAGGGGGAUAACUACUGGAAACGGUGGCUAAUACCGCAUACUAUCGGAUAACCCAUAUGGGGUUCGCUAGUAGGUGGGGUAAAGGCUCACCUAGGCGACGAUCUCUAGCUGGUCUGAGAGGAUGAUCAGCCACACUGGGACGGGGACAGGGCCCAGACUCCGACGGAGGCAGCAGUGGGGAAUAUGGCACAAUGGGCGCAAGUGGGAGGCAGCCAUGCCGCGUGUAGGAAGAAGGCCUUAGGGUUGUAAAGGACUUUCAGCGGGGAGGCGCUACCCGCCCAAGAAGCAACGGCUAACUCCGUGCCAGCAGCCGCGGUAAUAC